UACAGAGGUCCCGAGCGUUGUUCGGAUUCAUUGGGCGUAAAGGGUGCGUAGGCGGCGGGGUAAGUUUGAUGUGAAAUCCCGGGGCUCAACCCUGGAAUGGCAUUGAAUACUGCCUUGCUAGAGUACCGGAGAGGAAACUGGAAUUUACGGUGUAGCAGUGAAAUGCGUAGAGAUCGUAAGGAAGACCAGUGGCGAAGGCGGGUUGCUGGGCCGACACUGACGCUGAGGCGCGAAAGCUAGGGGAGCGAACGGG
rnacentral:rRNA from 1 species